AUUGAACGCUGGCGGCAUGCUUUACACAUGCAAGUCGAACGGUAACAGGUUAAGCUGACGAGUGGCGAACGGGUGAGUAAUGCAUCGGAACGUGCCCGAUCGUGGGGGAUAACGCAGCGAAAGCUGCGCUAAUACCGCAUACGAUCUGAGGAUGAAAGCGGGGGACCGAAAGGCCUCGCGCGAUCGGAGCGGCCGAUGUCAGAUUAGGUAGUUGGUGGGGUAAAGGCUCACCAAGCCAACGAUCUGUAGCUGGUCUGAGGGGACGACCAGCCACACUGGGACUGAGACACGGCCCAGACUCCUACGGGAGGCAGCAGUGGGGAAUUUUGGACAAUGGGCGAAAGCCUGAUCCAGCAAUGCCGCGUGCAGGAAGAAGGCCUUCGGGUUGUAAACUGCUUUUGUACGGAGCGAAAAGGCCCUCUCUAAUACAGUGGGCUCAUGACGGUACCGUAAGAAUAAGCACCGGCUAACUGCGUGCCAGCAGCCGCCGUAA
rnacentral:rRNA from 1 species